rnacentral:rRNA from 1 species
AGUGAACGCUGGCGGUAGGCCUAACACAUGCAAGUCGAACGGCAGCACAGUAAGAGCUUGCUCUUACGGGUGGCGAGUGGCGGACGGGUGAGGAAUACAUCGGAAUCUACUUUUUCGUGGGGGAUAACGUAGGGAAACUUACGCUAAUACCGCAUACGACCUACGGGUGAAAGCAGGGGAUCUUCGGGCCUUGCGCGAUUGAAUGAGCCGAUGUCGGAUUAGCUAGUUGGCGGGGUAAAGGCCCACCAAGGCGACGAUCCGUAGUUGGUCUGAGAGGAUGAUCAGCCACACUGGAACUGAGACACGGUCCAGACUCCUACGGGAGGCAGCAGUGGGGAAUAUUGGACAAUGGGCGCAAGCCUGAUCCAGCCAUACCGCGUGGGUGAAGAAGGCCUUCGGGUUGUAAAGCCCUUUUGUUGGGAAAGAAAAGCAGCAGGUUAAUACCCCGCUGUUCUGACGGUACCCAAAGAAUAAGCACCGGCUAACUUCGUG